rnacentral:lncRNA from 1 species
AGAAAAAAUCAGGGCAUCCACGAAAACACUUUUCCGCCGUCGCAAGCUUCCGUUUCCGCGAGAUCUCAUCUGGAGACCCUUCCUGGUGCCCUGUCGGAGGGGACUUUGGAGUUGGAGGGCUUCUACAUCAACAUCAUCGCCUCUCCAAUGACUCGUGAGUAGUCCACUUCAGACCUACGUGUCUGUAGUUAGUAGCUAGAUGGCUU